rnacentral:rRNA from 1 species
CCCUUAGACGUUCUGGGCCGCACGCGCGCUACACUGACCAGUGCAACAAGCAUCCGUCCUUGGCCGACAGGCCCGGGCAAUCUUUGAACGCUGGUCGUGAUGGGGAUAGACUUUUGCAAUUUUUGGUCUUCAACGAGGAAUUCCUAGUAAACGCAAGUCAUCAACUUGCAUUGAUUACAUCCCUGCCCUUUGUACACACCGCCCGUCGCACCUACCGAUUGAAUGGUCCGGUGAAGCCUCCGGAUUGGCGCGCACCUCGGUGCCGCCGAGAAGUUGGCUAAACCUUACCAUUUAGAGGAAGGUGAAGUCGUAACA